UCGCGAAUAGCUCAUUACAACAGCCAUCAUUUACAAGAUCUUACCUUCUUACUUGGAUAACUGUGGCAAUUCUAGAGCUAAUACAUGCAACAAAAGUCCGACUUUACAGAAGGACUGCAUUUAUUAGGCCAAAACCAAUCGAACUUCGGUUCGUAUCUUGGUGAAUCUGAAUAACUUUGCCGAUCGAACGGUCUUAGUACCGGCGACUUAUCUCUCAAGUGUCUGACUUAUCAACUUUCGAUGGUAGUUUAUUGGACUACCAUGGUGAUUACGGGUGACGGAGAAUUAGGGUUCGACUCCGGAGAGGGAGCCUGAGAAACGGCUACCACAUCCAAGGAAGGCAGCAGGC
rnacentral:rRNA from 1 species